rnacentral:rRNA from 1 species
GACGUAGGGGGCCAGCGUUGUUCGGAAUUACUGGGCGUAAAGGGCUCGUAGGCGGCCAACUAAGUCGGAUGUGAAAUCCCCAGGCUCAACCUGGGAACUGCAUCCGAUACUGGAUGGCUUGAAUUCGGGAGAGGGAUGCAGAAUUCCAGGUGUAGCGGUGAAAUGCGUAGAUAUCUGGAGGAAUACCGGUGGCGAAGGCGGCAUCCUGGACCGACAUUGACGCUGAGGAGCGAAAGCCAGGGGAGCAAACGGG